rnacentral:lncRNA from 1 species
CUUGUUCUUAGAAAAUUAGGAUUACAUUUUUUUCUUUCUUUCAUUUCUUUUAAGUAUAUGCUAACAUGUAAGUUUUGAUAUGAUUGGUAGGUUUCUUUUGGUCAACAAUAUGUUUAGCUAAGUUUACAAAUUAGUAAAAGUUGUUAGGUGUAGAAGGAAAUAGAUAGGAGAAAUAUGAAAUUUUACUCAUGAAAUUUGAGGAAUUACAAAGGAGUUGCUACGGCACACUCUUUCUCUAUUUUUUUGAGAGAUUUUUCUCACCUCUUCUACAUACAUAACACUAGAUGAAUACUUUCCUUUUAUAAAGUAAGCUAGUCUUAAUAAUUUUCUACAAUUACAAAAAGGUAAUAGCUGUAUUUUUCACAUCAUUUACAGCUGGUGCAUCUUUAUUUGCAGCUGUAUUUGAAUAAUUGAAAUGUUGUCUGGUUGAUGCCUGAUUUAUUUCCAGGUUCCAGCUUGCAUAUUUUCAAUAUUGAAGUUGAGUAUACAUUUUGAAUUGUAAAUUUUAUCCAUUUGACAAUUCGUUGAAGUGUUCAAUUUGGAUUUGGAUUAGUUGAAGAUUACAAAUUAUACUUGAACUUUUGACAAAAGCUAGCUUCUCUGCUUUUAUGUCCGAAGUUUUUUUGAUAGAGUUUUUACUAACAUCGAAAUAUUGAUAGUUUGAAUCUCUUGGCGAACAAGAACAUGGCGAAGAGAAUGCCACAUAUUCAUCAUCCAAAUCAACUUUGUGAAUGAUGUCUCUAUGGAAAGCAAUUUCGAAAGGCUCUUCCAAAAGAAGCAAGUUACCGAGCAAAAAGCCUCUUGAAUUGGUGCAUACAAAUAUUUGUGGUGUAAAAAUAAUUAUUUUAUGUUACUUAUUGAUGAUUUUUCUCGUACAACUAUCGUUUAUUUUCUUUGAGAAAAGUCUGAUACAUUUGAAACCUUUAAGAGCUUCAAAG